AGAGUUUGAUCCUGGCUCAGGAUGAACGCUGGCGGCGUGCUUAACACAUGCAAGUCAUGGGGGCCCAGCAAUGGGCAACCGGCGAACGGGUGCGUAACACGUGAGCAACCUACCCAGGUGUGGGGGAUAGCCGUCCCAACGGACGGGUAAUACCGCAUACGCUCAACACGAGGCAUUUCGAGUUGAGGAAACCUUCGGGGCACCAUGAGGGGCUCGCGGCCUAUCAGCUAGUUGGUGAGGUAACGGCUCACCAAGGCUACGACGGGUAGCUGGUCUGAGAGGAUGGCCAGCCACAUUGGGACUGAGAAACGGCCCAGACUCCUACGGGAGGCAGCAGUGGGGAAUCUUGCGCAAUGGCCUAACGGCUGACGCAGCGACGCCGCGUGAGGGAUGACGGCCUUCGGGUUGUAAACCUCUUUCAGUACCGACGAAGCUGUUCCUUUUUGGGGGUGGUGACGGUAGGUACAGAAGAAGCACCGGCCAACUACGUGCCAGCAGCCGCGGUAAUACGUAGGGUGCGAGCGUUGUCCGGAAUUAUUGGGCGUAAAGGGCUCGUAGGCGGUUUGUCGCGUCGGGAGUGAAAACAUCGGGCUUAACUCGAUGCUUGCUUUCGAUACGGGCAGACUUGAGGUAUGCAGGGGAGAAUGGAAUUCCUGGUGUAGCGGUGAAAUGCGUAGA
rnacentral:rRNA from 1 species